UACGUAGGGUGCAAGCGUUAAUCGGAAUUACUGGGCGUAAAGCGUGCGCAGGCGGUUCUAUAAGACAGAUGUGAAAUCCCCGGGCUCAACCUGGGAAUUGCAUUCGAAACUGCGAGGCUAGGGUACGGAAGAGGGAAGCGGAAUUUCUGGUGUAGCGGUGAAAUGCGUAGAUAUCAGAAGGAACAUCAGUGGCGAAAGCGGCUUCCUGGUCCAGUACCGACGUUCAGGCACGAAAGCGUGGGGAGCAAACAGG
rnacentral:rRNA from 1 species